GAACCGGUGUGCCUCAACAUAUAUUCUUUACAAAAUGCAAUGAACAUCUACAGAGCUGACCAUGGGCAGUUGAGAAUAAGAGGGAUGGAAAGGCAAUGCAGACACUUGGCCUACAGAUCUUUCGUGAGCUGGUGCUGGGGUUUCCUUGGGCGAAGUGUCCGUGUUGUGAUCCCCUCUUGUGUGGUGCUGCGCAUACGGAGGGAGUUUCCGGAAACAUCAGGGCAGUAUGUCGGGUUCAGACCCCCCCUCGACUGAACCGUGACACAUGCUCAGCGACAGCAUCCUCCCUGGAAGGUCUGGGAAGCUGAGCACACAAGUCUUGGGGCACAGGAAUCUGCUGGACGGCAUCCACAUAACGAAGGGAGUCAUGAACGAUCUCUUCGAACACCAGUCUUAUCAGGUUAAAGACAUAGCCUGUUGUGUGUGAAUUAAUAAGUUAUUGUUAGUGUCUAUACCGUUGCACAUUUGUUGCACAAUCGUUUGUAUAAAAAAAUAUAUACAUUUUAAACUUACAAA